CCUACGGGUGGCUGCAGUGGGGAAUAUUGGACAAUGGGGGGAACCCUGAUCCAGCCAUGCCGCGUGUGUGAAGAAGGCCCUCGGGUUGUAAAGCACUUUCAGUGAGGAAGAACGCCUGGUGGUUAAUACCCAUCAGGAAAGACAUCACUCACAGAAGAAGCACCGGCUAACUCCGUGCCAGCAGCCGCGGUAAUACGGAGGGUGCGAGCGUUAAUCGGAAUUACUGGGCGUAAAGCGCGCGUAGGUGGCUUGAUAAGCCGGUUGUGAAAGCCCCGGGCUCAACCUGGGAACGGCAUCCGGAACUGUCAAGCUAGAGUGCAGGAGAGGAAGGUAGAAUUCCCGGUGUAGCGGUGAAAUGCGUAGAGCUCGGGAGGAAUACCAGUGGCGAAGGCGGCCUUCUGGACUGACACUGACACUGAGGUGCGAAAGCGUGGGUAGCAAACAGGAUUAGAUACCCUUGUAGUC
rnacentral:rRNA from 1 species